rnacentral:rRNA from 1 species
UACGUAGGGGGCAAGCGUUGUCCGGAAUCAUUGGGCGUAAAGAGCGUGUAGGCGGUCCGAUAAGUCCGCUCUGAAAGCCCGGGGCUCAACCCCGGGAGGCGGGCGGAUACUGUCGGGCUAGAGUCCGGAAGAGGCAAGUGGAAUUCCUGGUGGUAGCGGUGAAAUGCGCAGAUAUCAGGAGGAACACCGAUGGCGAAGGCAGCUUGCUGGGACGGUACUGACGCUGGAGACGCGAAAGCGUGGGGAGCAAACAGG